AUCUACAAGCCAUACCACUCCGAAUAUGCCCUAUCUCAUCUGAUCUCGGAAGAUAAGCAGUAUUGGGCCUGAUUAGUACCUAGGGGCAUCUAAGGUGACUGCUUGGGACUACCAGGUGCUGUAGCAU
ensembl:rRNA 5S_rRNA 5S ribosomal RNA